GGGAAUGUGGCUUAGUGGUAAAGUGCUUGCCUAGAACGCAUGAUGCCCUGGGUUCAAUACCUCAGUACCA
rfam:Dipodomys ordii contig_36044, whole genome shotgun sequence.